UACAUGGGGUGCAAACGUUGCUCGGAAUUAUUGGGCGUAAAGCGCACGUAGGCGGCCUGCUAAGUCGGAUGUGAAAGCCCAGGGCUCAACCCUGGAAGUGCAUUCGAAACUGGCGGGCUUGAAUGUCGGAGAGGGCAGUGGAAUUCCGAGUGUAGAGGUGAAAUUCGUAGAUAUUCGGAGGAACACCAGUGGCGAAGGCGACUGCCUGGACGAACAUUGACGCUGAGGUGCGAAAGCGUGGGGAGCAAACAGG
rnacentral:rRNA from 1 species